GACGGGCGAGUAACGCGUGAGUAACCUGCCCAUAAGAGGGGGAGUAAUCCAUGGAAACGUGGACUAAUACCGCAUAUUGUAGUUAAGUUGCAUGACUUGAUUAUGAAAAAUUUAUCGCUUACGGAUGGACUCGCGUCAGAUUAGAUAGUUGGUGAGGUAACGGCUCACCAAGGCGACGAUCAGUAGCCGGCUUGAGAGAGUGAACGGCCACAUUGGGACUGAGACACGGCCCAAACUCCUACGGGAGGCAGCAUG
rnacentral:rRNA from 1 species